rnacentral:rRNA from 1 species
AUUGAACGCUGGCGGCAGGCCUAACACAUGCAAGUCGAACGGUAACAGGAAGAAGCUUGCUUCUUUGCUGACGAGUGGCGGACGGGUGAGUAAUGUCUGGGAAACUGCCUGAUGGAGGGGGAUAACUACUGGAAACGGUAACUAAUACCGCAUAACGUCGCAAGACCAAAGAGGGGGACCUUCGGGCCUCUUGCCAUCGGAUGUGCCCAGAUGGGAUUAGCUAGUAGGUGGGGUAACGGCUCACCUAGGCGACGAUCCCUAGCUGGUCUGAGAGGAUGACCAGCCACACUGGAACUGAGACACGGUCCAGACUCCUACGGGAGGCAGCAGUGGGGAAUAUUGCACAAAGGGCGCAAGCCUGAUGCAGCCAUGCCGCGUGUAUGAAGAAGGCCUUCGGGUUGUAAAGUACUUUCAGCGGGGAGGAAGGGAGUAAAGUUAAUACCUUUGCUCAUUGACGUUACCCGCAGAAGAAGCACCGGCUAACUCCGUG